UCAAUGUCCCUAGACAAUGACCACCCACAAGACCUUGAACUGGGGAAUUGGGAGAAGUAGAAACGACAUGACUGAAUUCUUCCAAAACAGCUGUGGGUAGGAGAAGGAUUACUAUUGACAUGCUAAAAGGUCACUGAUGUAUAAUCUGAGACAGGUAGAGCCUAAAGGAGACAGAGUCUCACGUACUGGAAACAGGAUUGAUGGAGAGUAAAUUCUUAGCAAAUAUUACGAAAACACUGUCAAAAGAUUCUGCAGAACCACACGAACAUGGUCACUCUUUCAAUAUCCACUGACUGACUGAGAAAGUACACAAUGACAAAAAGUCACUAUGCCUUCAGAAAUACUUUUAAUUAAUCUGAAUUGUGCUCAUUGUAAAAUGUACUUACACUGAGAAUAAUAGCAAUACAAAUAUAAAUUAGGCUUGCUCUUUAUUCUACGUACAGAAGUUUCUGGGUAUAUAGAUGGUUUCGAGACUCUGAAAUAUUUAUCUGGCUCUCCAGGUUUCAGAAUCACUGGACCAUUAGACCACAUCAGCACUGGACCCAGCUAAAGGGCAGAGAUUCAGAGAUCCCCAACUGUGACUAGUUGUGCAAGAAGCAUGCAGAAUGAUGAGAAACCUACAGCUCAGAAAAGAAACAAAUCGUCUAUAUGGAAGUCCAGUCUUGCUGUGGAAAGGCUCAGAAAAACAAGACCCUUAGCAUAUCUCAGGGAACUGAAAGGCUGUGGGGAAACCAACAGCUUGCUGCAACCACAGCCACAAGUCAGGUGGAAUGACUGUGGCUCUGUGCCAUCUCGAAAUCUACUGGUCUCUAAGCACAAACGAACAUUCUCUUAAACUAAUGAAAUGAGUGGCAGG
rnacentral:lncRNA from 1 species